GACGAACGCUGGCGGCGUGCUUAACACAUGCAAGUCGAACGAUGAAGCUAGAGCUUGCUCUGGUGGAUUAGUGGCGAACGGGUGAGUAACACGUGAGUAACCUGCCCCGAACUCUGGGAUAACUGCUGGAAACGGUAGCUAAUACCGGAUAUGACCAAUGAAGGCAUCUUCUGUUGGUGGAAAGAAUUUCGGUUCGGGAUGGACUCGCGGCCUAUCAGCUUGUCGGUGAGGUAACGGCUCACCAAGGCGACGACGGGUAGCCGGCCUGAGAGGGUGAUCGGCCACACUGGGACUGAGACACGGCCCAGACUCCUACGGGAGGCAGCAGUGGGGAAUAUUGCACAAUGGGCGCAAGCCUGAUGCAGCAACGCCGCGUGAGGGACGACGGCCUUCGGGUUGUAAACCUCUUUUAGUAGGGAAGAAGCGAAAGUGACGGUACCUGCAGAAAAAGCACCGGCUAACUACGUGCCAGCAGCCGCCGUAA
rnacentral:rRNA from 1 species